UACGUAGGGGGCUAGCGUUAUCCGGAAUUACUGGGCGUAAAGGGUGCGUAGGUGGUUUCUUAAGUCAGAGGUGAAAGGCUACGGCUCAACCGUAGUAAGCCUUUGAAACUGGGAAACUUGAGUGCAGGAGAGGAGAGUGGAAUUCCUAGUGUAGCGGUGAAAUGCGCAGAUAUUAGGAGGAACACCAGUUGCGAAGGCGGCUCUCUGGACUGUAACUGACACUGAGGCACGAAAGCGUGGGGAGCAAACAGGAUUAGAUACCCUGGUAGUCCCUGA
rnacentral:rRNA from 1 species